rnacentral:rRNA from 1 species
GACGAACGCUGGCGGCGUGCUUAACACAUGCAAGUCGAACGGUGACCCAGGGCUUGCCCUGGUGAUCAGUGGCGAACGGGUGAGUAACACGUGGGCAACCUGCCCCUGACUUCGGGAUAACUCCUCGAAAGAGGAGCUAAUACCGGAUACGACCACUUCGGACAUCCGAUGGUGGUGGAAAGUUUUUCGGUCAGGGAUGGGCCCGCGGCCUAUCAGCUAGUUGGUGGGGUAAUGGCCUACCAAGGCGACGACGGGUAGCCGGCCUGAGAGGGCGACCGGCCACACUGGGACUGAGACACGGCCCAGACUCCUACGGGAGGCAGCAGUGGGGAAUAUUGCGCAAUGGGCGAAAGCCUGACGCAGCGACGCCGCGUGAGGGAUGAAGGCCUUCGGUUGUAAACCUCUUUCAGCAGGACGAAGCGAAAGUGACGGUACCUGCAGAAGAAGCACCGGCUAACUACGUGCCAGC